AUGAAAUUCAACCAUUUCUCGAAGAAUUUUCACAAAUUCAUAGUGAGGCCUCUCAACAAAGUUCAGAUGUGGAGUGGAAUAGACAAUUCAUUAGUUGGUUACAAAAGAAGGUUGCAGAGUUGUACAAACAUGAUGAUAGUAAGAGAAUGGCAGAUUUGCUAUCGUUGUCACGUGGUCCUCUGCCAUAUGUGACAAGAUUCAAAGGCCAUAUUGUUAAUGGAUAUAGGUUUCAUGUG